rnacentral:ncRNA from 2 species
CCCGCGUGGGUGCAUAGAGCUGAGGGACCGAGCCCUUUGAAGCUCCGGCAACCAGCCAGUUGGUAUGGUGCCAAUUCUCGGCAGGCCUCAAUGCCUGGAAGACGGGGG